UUCGGGGUUGUAAAGCACUUUCAGUAGGGAGGAAGGUAGUGUAGUUAACACCUGCACUAUUUGACGUUACCUACAGAAGAAGCACCGGCUAACUCCGUGCCAGCAGCCGCGGUAAUACGGAGGGGUGCGAGCGUUAAUCGGAAUUACUGGGCGUAAAGCGCAUGCAGGCGGCCUGUUAAGUCAGAUGUGAAAGACCCGGGGCGUUAACCUCGGAAUUGCAUUUGUAAACUAGGCAGGCUAGAGUCUUGUAGAGGGGGGUAGGAAUUUCAGGUGUAGCGGUGAAAUAGCGUAGAGAUCUGAAGGAAUACCAGUGGCGAAGGCGGCCCCCUCGGACAAAGACUGACGCUCAGAUGCGAAAGCGUGGGGAGCAAACAGGAUUAGAUACCCCUGGUGG
rnacentral:rRNA from 1 species